CACGUAGGAGGCGAGCGUUGUCCGGAAUCAUUGGGCGUAAAGAGCGCGCAGGCGGCUUGGCAAGUCGGGUGUGAAAUCCCGGGGCUCAACCCCGUGACUGCAUCCGAUACUGUCAGGCUAGAGGUAGGUAGGGGAGAUCGGAAUUCCUGGUGUAGCGGUGAAAUGCGCAGAUAUCAGGAGGAACACCGGUGGCGAAGGCGGAUCUCUGGGCCUUACCUGACGCUCAGGCGCGAAAGCUAGGGGAGCGAACGGG
rnacentral:rRNA from 1 species